UUGUUUAGUUUUUUGCACGUUCUUAAUUGGUUGAUAACAAUUAAAGCUCUUGGAGAGAAGACCAAGACUUAUAUUAUCUCGUUAUAAACCAAUAUAAAAAUAAUUAGUUAUAUGAAGAAGUUCAUAUCUGUAAUGUGCUACUGAUCUUAGAAAUUCUUUUUAUAUAAACCAAUAAAAAAAAUUAGCAGGUGAACAUACCAAGAGAGUAGGCUAUUGUGUCUCUCUGUUUUAUUUGUCUUUUAAUGUAUUGUUUAGGUAUAAAAUGAUAAGUUCUACCAACCGAGUGAUGCAUAUUCAUGAUAGUUUAUGUUGUUUAACUUGAGUUAUUUUUGGUACCUGUUCUUUACUAUCAACAUCAUCUUUUAAUUCAAGCUGGUUCACAGAAUAUUACUAAUAGUAGGUGUUUAUCAUACUUCUGAUUCCACCUGCUUUAUAACAGAACAUAGGUUGUGUUGGAUGCUGCAAAAAAACUCCAGUACCUUAAUUAGGAUGGCCUUUUAGAGUUGAAUAUGUGAAUAAUACAUUUCAACAGAACCUGUAUUAAUGAGUCACUUGUUUGAUUCGGAAUUUGAUUGGAAUGAGAUGGAAUUUUUGAUAAAAUGGAAAGGGCAGUCUCAUUUGCGCUAGUAUUCGUUGGAGGAUGCAAUAUUGGACUUUGCUGAAGGGUUGAGAGUUAUUGGAGUAAGACCCAAUGAGAAACUUGCACUUUGCUGAUAAUUCAUGUCGCUGGCUUGUAGCAGAUCUAGGUGUUUAGAAUUACUUGUAUUAUUUAUUGCUUUGCUUCUGAUGUAGUUAGCUUGCUUAUGGAGCCUAAUCUUUUUUGCUUUCAUACUUUAUUCCUUUGAACAAAAUGCUAUGCAAAAUACUUUUGUAGCAAAAUAUCUUGAGUUCACUGAAUGAAAAUGAAUUUUAUUUUUCACA